UACGUAUGGUGCAAGCGUUAUCCGGAUUUACUGGGCGUAAAGGGAGCGCAGGCGGUGCGCCAAGUCUGAUGUGAAACCCCGGGGCUCAACCCCGGGCAUGCAUUGGAAACUGGCGGGCUGGAGUGCCGGAGAGGUAAGCGGAAUUCCUAGUGUAGCGGUGAAAUGCGUAGAUAUUAGGAGGAACACCAGUGGCGAAGGCGGCUUACUGGACGGCAACUGACGCUGAGGUUCGAAAGCGUGGGUAGCAAACAGG
rnacentral:rRNA from 1 species